GUGUCAGCCGCCGCGGUAAUACGUAGGGACCGAGCGUUGUCCGGAUUCAUUGGGCGUAAAGAGCUCGUAGGCGGCCACUCAAGUCGAAUGUGAAACCUCGAGGCUUAACCUCGAGCCUGCAUUCGAUACUGGGCGGCUAGAGUCUGGUAGGGGGAUCUGGAAUUCCUGGUGUAGCGGUGGAAUGCGCAGAUAUCAGGAGGAACACCGGUGGCGAAGGCGGGAUCCUGGGCCAGUACUGACGCUGAGGAGCGAAAGCGUGGGGAGCAAACAGGAUUAGAUACCCUGGUAGUCCACGCCGUAAACGAUGGGCGCUAGGUGUGGGAGGUCAUCGACUCCUUCCGUGCCGCAGCUAACGCAUUAAGCGCCCCGCCUGGGGAGUACGGCCGCAAGGCUAAA
rnacentral:rRNA from 1 species